UGCGCAGGCGGGAAAUUAAGUCAGUGGUGAAAUCCUGCAGCUUAACUGUAGAAUUGCCAUUGAAACUGAUUUUCUUGAGUACAGUUGAGGUGGCGGAAUGUGUAAUGUAGCGGUGAAAUGCUUAGAUAUUACACAGAACACCGAUUGCGUAGGCAGCUCACUAAACUGUUACUGACGCUCAGGCACGAAAGCGUGGGGAGCGAACAGGAUUAGAUACCCUGGUAGUCC
rnacentral:rRNA from 1 species